rnacentral:piRNA from 1 species
UGCUGUGAGUGCCGAAUUGGGACCGUGA